rnacentral:ncRNA from 2 species
GACACAAUUAGGGGAGAGACCCAAGAAAUGGGCACCGAAGGGGCAAGCCUUGUGAGAUGGUGCAUACUCGAGGCGAAACUCUCAGGUCAAAGGACCCUGGCUGGAAG